AGUGCACCGACGGCAGACGGAACAAGAGGCGGAUACAUGCAUAUGGCCGACGUUGAGAACCCUAACCCCGGAGGCGGCGGCACCGACCUAGCCGUGGCGGCGGAGCCUGAUAACAUAAGCAAGAUCUGGCAACCAUGUGAAGCCCUGUUUAACUGCCUUAUCAUCGUCGUCUCGGUCACCCUCCUGGUGCUCCUCUUCUCUUCCGGCUCUCCUGAUAUCUUCUGGCUCGUCGUGGGGGUACUGGGCCUCGUCUACGGAGCCUGCAGCUGCGCCUUCAGCAUCGACAACACGUGCAUUCGUGGGAACACGCAGGGGAUCGAUCAAUCCCAGAUAUGGCGUUAUGUGUGCACGUAGAGCUGUUGUAAGUUAUUAAGUCUUUUUUUUAGCUCUGGACUAUACUAGUUAGUAGGUUUAAUUCUUGCACUUGAUUGACAAAUUUUGCCUAAUUAAGAAGAUACAGAAGGGAAUUCAUACUAGUAAUAUAUUGUCUCUUUGUUAUUCAUUUGUCUUUACAGCUCAUAAUUAUAAUCUGGUUUUCAUACAACUCAUACAUCGUUUCGUAGCAUGAUGGCUGGUGAUGCCUAUGUUUGGGAAACCAAAAUGUAAAGAAAAGUUGCCAAAACAUGCAAAAGUAAUUGGAAAAAGCUAUCCUUCAACCGGCUGAUGCACGCACAGUGUCCGUCAUCUGUGUAUCCAUCAGAUUGAUCUUGAUCAAGCGCUCGCGCUAGCCACAUGUUUCACGCAGUCGUUUUCCUUUUUGCAACAAGUGUAUUGUUUCAAUAGGUUUCUUCAACAAAGGUUGUGUUUCAGAAGAAAAAAAAAGGAUUCAAUGGUGUUUCUUUUCUCCAGCAAGAAGAUCUAAUUUCAGGUUUCUACAACAGAGGUCCUGUUUUAGAAAGAAGAAGAAAAUGGUUCGACGAUGGAUAUUUUUUCUUCUGCAGCAGGGGUCUUGCUUCAGAAACAUAGCCCCGAGGAGCGCUCAGUGCUAGAGCAUACGAGGACAAGCAUUUGCAACACAACACAUGUUUCAGAAACAUAGGUUCGGUUGCAGAAAUCACCAGAAGAGUGCCCUACGUGAGAGCGCCUCGUCGUUAUGCUGGCAACUACUCGAGUGUCGGGUUAGAGGAAGUGCAGCAACUCUGGAGGCCGACGGUCCUCCAUGGCCGAGGCGCUCAGGCCAUGGCGGGGCAGCGGCGCUGUCUCGAUGGACCUUUGCAAGAAGAUCCUUGUUGCAAAGCCCCUGAGCGCAACAAGCUAGCUGUUGCAAACGUCCUCGGUUGCCUGGAGCGGUAGAUCGGAUGACUGUUUUGGGUGGCAUCCGACGAUUGCUGAGGCGGCCGAUCUAAUCGGUUUAUCAUCCGACGGAUGCGUAGCAUUGUCCAAAGUAAAUUCACAGUAAUCUAUUGUCUCUUAUUCAUUUGUCUUUCUUUCCAACCGAUAAUAAUAAGCAGGUUUCAUGGAAGCACGGAAGAGGAGGAGGAUGGGAAGACGGUCGCAGAUGAAAGUGAAAUUGAGCAGUUGGCUGUGCACAGAUCUAAGGUGUCGUAGCAAGCCAAAUUGAGUGAACAACAGUAGUCAUUAUGUUUAUCUAGGCAGCAUCUUGGGAUGGGUUGACUCUUGAUAUACGCAAGUUGAACCUCCUUGUCCGCCUCUAUGCAUCUGCCUAUAGAAUUUUUGACACAUGUAGACGAUUUACAUUCAUGAUUAAUCAAUGAAUGAUGUAAAAAAGACAUGGAAAUAUUUAAGAACGGAUAUUGAAGAAUAUACGAG
rnacentral:lncRNA from 1 species